rnacentral:lncRNA from 1 species
CCGGACCCAUUUUCAACAAGUGGCCAAUCUUGGUAGUGCAGACUAAGAAGCAGCCCAGUAAGUUCUUAGAACCGGAAACUCCCCUCCCCCCAAACACCCAACCGCGCAGCCCACGCUGCGGGGCCACGACUUGGCCGGAUUUAUGUUCAUGGCUGAGGAUGCCAUGGGCCGAGUAAGAAGGAGAACCGCCACCCAACCACGCAGCCAAGAGCAACCCAGGGAUCCCUCCUCUGCUUGCUCCCCUCCCCCACCCCUGCUGUACCUUCUGCGCAGCCAUCUCGGUAACGGGCGUCAGGGGCGCUCGGCGGCCUGCUGUCCAAGCUGGGGUCAGGAGCCUGGCGGUAGCAAAGAGCAUCACCGAAAGGAAGCUGGUAGGCUAGCGAGGCCAGCCCCAAAGACCCACAGAUACACGCGCUGCUCCGAACUCGCGGGCCCGCGGCGUCCACUAAUGAGAUGAACCUGGGCGCGCAGCGGCUGGACCUCAGCUGCUAGGGCGCCGCCAAGGCCCUGCUGGACACCUUCUGGUACCUGGGCCUCGUGUAUUACACCUGUGGCUGCCGCCGAGGCGCGGUUCAAUUUGAAGUCUGAGCCCCUACAGGCCCGUGAAUCCUGGAUUACAACUGCAGUUUGUGCAAGAAGCAGCAGCACCUGCACUUCCACUUAGCAACCUCCGGCUUCACGCUCCUCCAGGGCGCAGAGAGCAUCAAAGCAUUAUCACCGACCCAACACACACCGGCGCUGCGUAGUUUCUGCAGCAGGUGUGGGGUGAAGAGUUGCCACACAGCUGUCUGACACCGGGUGUACGGCGUCACCCCUCACUUCCUGGACAAGGCAACAUUUUCCUAAAGGUAAAGACCAUGAACAUGUAGAGGCCCCCUUACUCUCAUGCUAGUCCGCAUUCAGCCGGAAGCAAUUCAGCAAAUUUGCCAUUUAAGUGACGCCCUGGAUCUGUCUUUCAGAGUAGUGGCUUACCCUGCAGCCUCAUUUCUCUGAUAAGUAUUUUUUUAAAGCCAUUGAUUCAGUUUGUUCAUCUUUUUCUUGUUGGAAGAAGGGGGUGGGGUGACAAUUUCCAGCUUCUUUACAUGAAAGAGCUGAAACCAGAAGUCUCGCUUGUGACCAUUUUUGCAAUAUACUACAAUCACUAUAAGCCUAUGAUUUAGAAAUAUCAUGGUAAAUGCCUGAGAAGCAGAAAAAAUAGUUGAAAGAAGUUUUCUCAGGGAGCCAGAGCAGGAGUGGGGGCGAGUAUGGAUUUAGAUUCAAAUGAUUUCUGGUUUCAUUAAAGGCUAGUGUUAUUCUUUAAGAACUUUUAAGAUCAUGUAUGUAUAUUAUUUUGAGAAAAUUAAAGAAUAAGUGAUGCAUUUUAUGUAGAAAUAAUCUAUAUAAAUUCUACAUAGAAAAAUACGUAGAAAUACCAAGUUUAAUUUCAAGAUUAAAUAAAUGCUCAAAAAUACAUACAAUUCCUAAAACAGUUAUUACCACUUACUUGUUAAUGUUAGUUGUGACUGUUUAUAAAUUAACGUGCACAUUUUACUCUUGAUCCAAAUGCUACUGUUUGAACAUUAAUUGGCUUAAGUAAUAAUUUUUAAAUUGUACUUCACAAAAUUUAGAGGAAACAAUGCAAGGGAAGGGACUAUAUUCCCAUUUCCCUGAUGAAGACACUAAAGCUUAAAAGAUUAGGUAACUUGCUGAAAGUCAUGCACUAAGUAAGUGGUUGACUGGCACAGUCUCACAAAUCCAUCUGCUGUUAUGUAUACCUCUCUCCCUCUACACAUUUUUGAAUAGCCAUGCCUUUAUCAGAAAAAAUGGUGUUACUCUUCCACUAGGAUUGGGAACCAAAAUUACUGAUAAAAGUACAAGGAGAGUUGAAUACGAUCUUUCAGUUCUUUUCAAGAAUCACAAAUCCCUAAGCCAAUAAAAAAGUUUAGAAGCUAGAAGCAAAGACAGAGAUCUUCCAAAUUUGUUUAAUGAAGGAAGUCUAAACUCUGAUUCCAAAACCUGGCAAAGAUAGUUCACUACACACAAAGAAAGAUGUGGAUCUCUCUCACUUAUUAACUUAUAUUUAAUUUUUUAUUAAUAAAAUUUGGGUCCAUAAAAUUAAACUGUAUAUAAAAAUCUAUCAUAUCCUGGUAGUUUCCUAGUCAUGAGAGCAUGAUGUAAUAUUAGGAAAUAUUUUAAUUAACCCUCCACAGUAUAUAAAAAUCCAUCAUAUCCUGGUAGUUUUCUAGUCAUGAGAGCAUGGUGUAAUAUUAAGAAAUAUUUUAAUUAACCCAUUAUAUCAAUAGGUCAAAGGAGAAAAAUCCUAUCAUCUGAGGUGCUGAACAAAGAAUUCAAUAAAUUCAAUCAAUCUGAUGCACUCUGCAGUCGUUCUAAGUUCUUGUCUACUAAAAUCCUCGACUACUACACAUCCACAAUCGCUUCUGUGAAACUCUUGGGACCAAAUGGUUCAGAAUUUGUCUCCCAUACAUACAUAAUAUCUAUGUCAAGGCCUGUAGUAAUACUGUGGAAUCUAAUACAAUGAUAUUUCUGUAGUGAAACAUACAAAUGUUCACUCCAAGAUCUAAAGAUUACAAAUAGCAUCAUGUCAGUUCAAAUCAGGUUUUAUGGAUAAAUGAGUCAGGAAAAGUAUGUUUUUCAAAGCAUUUUGAAUGUUAGACUUGUGCACAAGGGAUUGUGAGUCUGAAUCAUAUUUCCGUCAACUCUUCUUGCCUUUCAUACAAUUUUUUUCUUUCUGUUAUCUUUUUUAUCAUUGAAAUACAACAUUUAGAUAGAAGAUUGUGCAAAUCAUAAGGGACAACAAGUUGAUGACUUUUUACAAAGUGAACACAUGCAUGUAACAACCAGUAAGACCAAAAUAUAGAACAUUACUGGCACCCCAGAAACUUAUGUUAUACCCCUACCUAGUCAUUACCCCUGAAAUUUAAGCACUAUUCUAACCUAUGUUACUAUAGAAUUGUUUUGCCGGCUUUUUAUACUUUAUACAAAUGGAAUUAUAAAUUAUGUAUAUUUUUAUGCCUGGUUUCUUUUGCUCAAUAUGAAUGCUUUUAAGAUCUGUACACUUUGUUGCAUGUAGGGAUAUUUGCUUGUUUCGUUCCUGAACAGUAUUCCAUUGUAUUAAUAUACCACAAUUUAUUCAUUCAACUGUUGAUAUAUAUUUAGGUUGUUUCUAGUUUGUGACUAUUUCCAAUAAUGCCACUGUGAACAUCCUUAUGUCUUUUGAAAAACAGGUUUAUGUAUCUCUGUUGGAUAUAUACUUGUGUGGUAAGCAGAAUUCUAAGGUGAUCUCCAAUGACUCUUGUCUUGGUAUAAUCUCUUCCCAUUGGGUGUAGGUGGAACCUGUAAAUAUGAUGAGAUCUUACUUUUAUGAUUAUAUUACUUCAUAUGGCAAAAAGGAUCUUGCAGAUAUAAUUAAGGUCACAAAUCAGUUGCCCUUAAAGUAGGUGAGGCAGACCUAAUCAGGUGAGCACUUACAAGGGCCCAGGUUUUUGCUGAGAGAUUCGAAGCAUGAGAGAGCAUUUGGAGGGGGCCACGUGACAAGGAACUGCAGGAGUCCUCUAGGUGAUGAGUUGCUGCCCCUUGUUGACAGCCAGCAAAAGAAUGGAGGGACCUCAGUACUACAGCUACAGGGCACUGGACUCAGCUGGCAACAUAGAUGAGUCUGCAAGGGCUUCUUCCCCAGAGAUCCAGAAAGGAACACAGGAAGUCCAAGAGCAUCUCACCCUGUGAGACCUUGAGCAGGGAAACCAGUCACAUGGUGCACAGACCUCUGACCUACACAACUGUGAGCUAAUAAAUGAGUGUUGGUGUAAGCUGCUAAGACUGUAGCAAUGUGUUUAACACCAACAGAAACCACUAUAGAUUUUGAUACCUGGAUGUGAGGUGUAGUCACUGUAAACACCUUAAAAUGUAGAUGUGGCUUUGGAACUGGAUAGUAAGCAAAGGCUGGAAGAAUUUUGAGAUGCAUGACAGGGAAAGCCUAAAUUCCCUUGGACAGACUGGUAGUAGACGUCAGCUGGAUAUCCAAACUGCUUUGGAACUCCUCUUUUCUGCCUUCUGUUUUCUCCUGUAUAAAAUAGAAUGUUUAUAGAUGUUAUCCUAUGCCCGUCCCAUCAUUGUAUGUGGUGGUGUUGGGGGAAGAUAGCUUGUCACUUUAGUGCUGAUGGUCCACAGUUGGAGAGGGAUUUUGCCCUAGGAGUUUUACUGGAUAGGAUCAUACCCAGGAAUCUCAUCCGUUCAUGAUUCAGAUGAUGAAAUUCAGAUGAGCUUUUGGAAUUGAGCUGAUGCCAUAAUACAAAGAAAUUUGGAGACUGUGGGAUGGAUUGAAUGUAUUUUAUACGUGGGAAAUACUGGAUCACUGAGGGCCAGAGGGCAGGCUGAGGCAGGCAGAAUUCUAAGAUGACCUCUAAUGACCUCUGGUCUUAUAUGAACUUCUCUUGAGUAUAAGAGCAGCCUGUGAAUAUGAUGAGAUACCACUCCUAUGAUAAUGUUACACAAUAUGGGGAAAGAGAUUUUGCAGAUGAAUUAUGCUCCCAGAUCAGUGAACCUCGAAAUAAGGAGGUUGACCUGUGUGGGCCAGACCUAAGUAAGUGAGCCCUUAAGAUGGCCUGAGCCCUUCCUGGGAGACUGGAAGUGUGCGAAGGAAUAUGUAGAGCUCUAUGUGGCAAAGAACUGCAUGAGGCCUCUAGGAGCUAAAAAUUGAACUGAAUUCUGCCAAUUACCUGAAUGAGUUUGGAAAUAUAUUCCUCCUCAGUCUCCAGAAAGAAACACAGACUCACUGACCAAUAGAACAGGCUGACUUCACCCUGUGAGACUUGAACAGAGUACUUGUAAACCUAUAGAACUGGGAGCUUAAAUAAAUGGCCAUUGUUUAAAGCCAUUAAAUUUGUGGUGAUUUGUUACUCAGGGAUAGAAAAGUAACAUAGAUGGAAUUUCUGGGUUAUAGAAAAUGCAUAAAUUCAGCUUUAAUAGGUACUCCCAAAUAGUUUUCCAAGGGUACUAAUUUACACUCCUACCGGCAGUUAGAGUUUCAGUUCCUCUAUAGCCUCCCCUGCUCUUUAUAUUGGUAGUCAUUCUAGCUAUUCUGGUAGAUGUUUGCUGAUGUCUUCUUGUGAUUUUAAUUUGCAUAUCUCUGAUGACUUAUUUUGGGAAGUCUUUGUUAUUUGUCAGUUUAAUAUCCUAUUUUGUGAAGUACCUGUUGAAAUAUUGUGCCAGUGUUUAACUGCAUUUACUUUUAUUCUUUAUUUUAUUCUGUACAUAAAACAUUUUCUGAAUGUGUGCGUGCAUGCGUGUUUAUUUGUAGUUAAUGUUUUCCUUUAUCGUUAGUGGUUUUUGUGUUGUGUUUUAGAUAUAAUUUACCCCAAGGUCAUCAAGAUAUGAUUGUAUCUUAUUUUCUAGAAGCUUUAUCUUUUUGAAUUCAUUUUGUGUAUGGCAUAAGUUAGGAGCCAAAGUUAUUUUUUUCUAUAUGGCUGGAUAUCCAAUUUGUCCAGUUCCACUUACUUAAAUGAUUAUCUUUCUCCCUGAGUACUGCAUUGGUAUCUUUGUUGUAAAUAAGGUGAUCAUAUGUGUGUGUCUG